rnacentral:lncRNA from 1 species
CGCUCGCACGCCCGCGCCCGCGCUCGUGCGCGCGCCGCUCGCCGCCGUGCACCGCCAGCCCUUUCCUCCGCCCAGACGUUCUUCCCCCGAGCGGACCCAGCUCUGUUCGCCUCUGCCCAGCCUCCGUCCGGCCACCUCCGGCCACCGCCCAGCCUCGCCGGACCUUCCCGGCGUCCCCCUUGCUCUCCGCCGGCCUCCCCUCGCCGUUUUGGCCGCCGGAUCUGCUCCGACCAGCCAAGGGCAGAGACCCACGAAAUGGGUUUCCAGCACCUUUGAGCUCGCUUUUGGGCCGUUUCCCGGCUCCGAACCCGAGCCGUGCUUUGGGAACAAUCGUUCCUCGCGUCGCCGCCGUCGGAUUGAUCCGAUUUGCGCGCGAUUUGGUGAGUAAUCUCACUAAUCCUGGAUUAGUUGGCUAAUUAUGCUUAAGGUUGGUUUAGUUUUAAUUAAUUAUGUUUAGGUUGUUAGAUUUAAAUAAAUUAGCAAUUAUUAGUCAAUUGUGAUGUGAUUUAGAUAAAUUGAUUGUGCAAUUAGCAAGUAGACGUGGUCUACUAUUUAUUGGAAGUGUCUCGGGAAUUUUCCGAUCCCUAAUCGGGCUUCAAUUUGGCGAUUCGGGCCUAAGUGGGAUUUUUGGCAUUUAAAUAUUAUUUUUCGGAAUUAAAUUAAUUAAUUAUUUAUUUUCCGAAAAUUCAACUGAGAUGGUUCGGAACCGGAAAAUUAUGCUGAUGAUCGUGAUGCAGUCCGUUUAUUUAAUUGAGCUUUAUAUUGUGCUAAAUUGAAUUUAUUGUAUUUAUUUAUUUAAUUUUCGAAAUUAAUUAUUUAAUUAUUUAUUUUCCGGAAAUUCAACUAGGAUGGCCAGUGACCGGAAUUUCGUGCUGAUUGCAAUGGUGUGGUUAAUUUCUGCAAUUGAAUGUUAAAUUAUGCAAAUUGAGUAUUGAUUUGACUUUUGGUAUUUAAUUCCAAAAAUUGUGAAUUUCCAAUAUUUAUUCAGAGAAUCCCAGGUGUCGGGUUUUGACACCGAAAAUGGUUUUUAGUACUGUAUGAAAUAGUGGGAUUUCAAAAAGGAUGAAUAUCAAUUUUUUUGGAUCAAGUUGGCCAUGUACCCACACACGAGUAAUUUCAUGUGAAUUUCUAAUACGAAGAAAAAGGCCAGGCUCACCAUUUUAAUUGAAGCAUUUGAGUGCAAUGCACGGUGCCCUGGGCCAUAUUUGAGUGAUCGUGUGAUAGUUAUGAGAAAUCGUCCCGGGCUGUUGAGCUGGACGUUAUCCCUAUGUGGGAUACCCCUUGGACAACGGGAAGCCGGUCGCAGUUGAUUCUGGACCCUAUGCUCCUUCGGGAAUGCCGUCGACGUAGUGACGAAGCCGUGCUCCAAGGGGGGAGACGAUGCUCCUUCGGGAAUGCCGUCGACGUAAUGACGAAGCCGCGCUCCAUGGGGGGAGGCGAUGCCUGGCAAUGCCAGAAGACCGCCGAACUGAGAGUAGGUCGUGCUAUAUGCCGAGAUCAAAUCUAAGAAUGCAUGAUUAAUUGAGUGUGAGAAUCGAGAGUAUAUUAUAUCAGCCUACGGGCGAUAUCUCAGUUUAGAGUGAGCAGUCCUGGACUAUGGUCGGACUUAUAAAUAGUAUUGAAUGUGCCGACCAAGCAUGGGUCGUGAUGUCAUGUAAUCGACUAGGUCGAUUGAUCAUUGUUUUGAUAUGAUGCUGUGAAUUGAUUGACUGGAUGGAAAUGACCGUGAGUGGUCUUGUUGACAUGUAAUUGACUAGGUUGAUUUGAUCGAUGCUUCGAUCUGUGAAGUGAUUGCUUGAGCGCCUAUUGUGAAUUAUACUGACUUGCAGGUGGGAUCUGAUGCUAAGGUACGUCUUCUGACCUAUGCGUGUUUAGGCAGCCUUUAGUAUAAUGGUUUACUAAUUGGGCUUAGUGGGGUAGAACUCGCUGAGACGUAGUCUCAUCCCAGUUUGGGGAAAACAUUUCAGGAUACCGCUGAGGAGCUGAGGAGGAGGAG